AGCUCCAAUAGCGUAUAUUAAAGUUGUUGCAGUUAAAAAGCUCGUAGUUGGAUUUCGGAAUGGGCCAGUUGGUCCGCCUCACGGUGUGUUACUGGCUGGUCUGUUCUUCUUCGCAAAGACUGCGUGUGCUCUUUACCGAGUGUGCGUAGGAUUUACGACGUUUACUUUGAAAAAAUUAGAGUGUUCAAAGCAGGCCUACCGCUUGAAUACAUGAGCAUGGAAUAAUGGAAUAGGACUUUGGUCUUAUUUUGUUGGUUUCUAAGACCGAAGUAAUGAUUAAGAGGGACAGUUGGGGGCAUUCGUAUUUCGUUGUCAGAGGUGAAAUUCUUGGAUUUACGAAAGACGAACAACUGCGAAAGCAUUUGCCAAGAAUGUUU
rnacentral:rRNA from 1 species